UACAGAGGUCCCAAGCGUUGUUCGGAUUCAUUGGGCGUAAAGGGUGUGUAGGUGGCGCCGUAAGUCGGGUGUGAAAUUUCGGAGCUUAACUCCGAAACUGCAUUCGAUACUGCGGUGCUUGAGGACUGGAGAGGAGACUGGAAUUCAUGGUGUAGCAGUGAAAUGCGUAGAUAUCGUAAGGAAGGCCGGUGGCGAAAAGCGAGUCUCUGGACAGUUACUGACGCUGAUGCACGAAGGCCAGGGGGAGCAAACGGG
rnacentral:rRNA from 1 species